CCUGGAAUGAAUUUUGAGUUUCACCACAAUUUGGUUGCUCAACACAUCCCGAGAGCACACCCGUGCUAUUCAACAUAGACAUGUUGUUGGCAACCAGACCGUGCCGAAGGAAACAUGUGAUUUCAGCACGCUUUUUGAGAGUGACAUGGUUUGGGGACACGACCAUGUUAUGGGCAUACAGACCGUGUCGACCUGAAAUGGGAAUUUAGCACGCCUUCCACGAGUAACAUGGGUUGUGAACACAGGCUGUGUCAAGCAACACGUCCGUGUUCUUGGCAGCCAAACCAUGCUGACAGGAAAAUGGACUUCAAUACGUUUUCCGUGACUAACACGUUUUGGGAGACUGACCAUGCUGAUCAGUACAGCAUGGAACACGGGUGUGCUAGCAUCAAUGUCUAUAUAAGUUGCGCUAUUUCACAGGUAGAAAAAUUUUCACUCUCCUCUCUCUUUGCACGUAUAGGCCGACGCCCUCUCCAUCUUUUUCUUCAAUUUUCAACUGUUUUUUUGGCAAAUCAAGUAAGCUUCUUCCUUAAUUUUUGCUCAAUACUCCAUUGUGGUAUGUUAUUUUACUCUUUUCUCUAAUUUAGUUCUUGAAAUCUUUUAUUAUUUCCUAUUUUUAAUGUCUUUGUCAAUUUUGUUAUGUUGCUCAAUUUCUUGCUUUUCCUUUAAGUUGAAUUGUUGUUAUUAUUUAUUUUAGUUUACUAGUUACUAUUAGGGAUAUUAUGGAUUUCUGUUAUUGUGGUAUGCUAUUUUACUCUUUUCCAUAAUUUAGUCCAUUAUUUCUGAAAUUAUUGAUUUUGUUCUUUUUUUUAUGACUCUGUUAAUUCUAUUAUUUUGCGAAAGUUCUUGUUCUUCUUGCUGAAUUGGAAUUAGCUAAUGCAAGUAUGCCGAAAACGUGUUAAAUUAAUGUUGUAUUGCUAUUAAACUAUUGCUGUUAUUGGAAUAAUUGUCUCUUUAGUGCAAGAACUAUGGUUUUGGCAAUAGUUUGAUCAAUUUUCAUGCAAGUAGGAUGGCUGAGCGGCAUGAGAGACCCAAAAAGGUAGGUAUGUGCAAGAGAAGGCGUUCAGACCCAAUCGACC
rnacentral:lncRNA from 1 species